rnacentral:ncRNA from 1 species
AAUGAAGCGUCGAAAGGAUCAAGUAGCUUCCUGUUGCUGCAUACAAGAGAGCCGGUGGUUGGUGCGAACCGGUACAGGCAGGCGGCGAAUUACACCCCGGAGCUUUUGCCGGAUACGGCAGACGGCCCCCAGCCGUUAUCCAAAUGAGUGGAGAAGCAAUUCUCAAGUUGGGUGGUAACGCGAUACAAUCGUCCCUUCG